rnacentral:rRNA from 1 species
GGUUAAGCUACUAAGAGCACACGGAGGAUGCCUAGGCGCUAGGAGCCGAAGAAGGACGUGGCGAACAACGAUACUGCCUCGGGGAGCUGUAAGCAAGCUUCGAUCCGGGGAUGUCCGAAUGGGGAAACCCAGCUAGUGUAAUAGCUAGUUACCCGUAUCUGAAUACAUAGGAUGCGAGGAGGCAUACCCAGGGAACUGAAACAUCUAAGUACCUGGAGGAAGAGAAAACAAGAGUGAUUCCGUCAGUAGCGGCGAGCGAACGCGGAACAGCCUAAACCAGAGAGCUUGCUCUCUGGGGUUGUGGGACGUCUCACAUGGAGUUACAAAGGAACAUAUUAGGCGAAGAGGUCUGGAAAGGCCCGCUAUAAGAGGUAAAAGCCCUGUAGCCGAAAGUAUAUUCCCUCCGAGACGGAUCCCGAGUAGUGCGGGGCACGUGAAACCCCGUAUGAAUCCAGCAGGACCAUCUGCUAAGGCUAAAUACUCCCUAGCGACCGAUAGUGAAACAGUACCGUGAGGGAAAGGUGAAAAGCACCCCGGAAGGGGAGUGAAAUAGAUCCUGAAACCGUGUGCUUACAAGAAGUCAGAGCCCGAUCUAUGGGUGAUGGCGUGCCUUUUGUAGAAUGAACCGGCGAGUUACGUUCCCAUGCAAGGUUAAGGCGAGAAGCCGUAGCCGCAGCGAAAGCGAGUCUGAAUAGGGCGACUGAGUAUGUGGGCGUAGACCCGAAACCGUGUGAUCUACCCCUGUCCAGGGUGAAGGUGCGGUAACACGCACUGGAGGCCCGAACCCACGUAUGUUGAAAAAUGCGGGGAUGAGGUGGGGGUAGCGGAGAAAUUCCAAUCGAACUCGGAGAUAGCUGGUUCUCCCCGAAAUAGCUU